rnacentral:rRNA from 1 species
CGUGUAGGCGGGUCGGCAAGUCAGGCGUGAAAUCCCCAGGCUCAACCUGGGAACUGCGCUUGAAACUGCCGGUCUUGAGUAUCGGAGAGGGUGGCGGAAUUCCUGGUGUAGAGGUGAAAUUCGUAGAUAUCAGGAGGAACACCGGUGGCGAAGGCGGCCACCUGGACGAUAACUGACGCUGAGACGCGAAAGCGUGGGGAGCAAACAGGAUUAGAUACCCUGGUAGUCCACGCCGUAAACGAUGGGUGCUAGGUGUCUCGGGUAUUGACCCCUGAGGUGCCGUAGCUAACGCGUUAAGCACCCCGCCUGGGAAGUACGGCCGCAAGGCUAAA